rnacentral:lncRNA from 1 species
AGGCCCUUUCUUCUGCGCCAUCUUGUGGCAGUUGAGAGCAGGCCCAGGGCAGAAGGGAGGCAGGGGCAUUAAGAGCUCAGGCCUCCAGCUGAGGGACUGCAGAUGUUGGGUAAGCUGACCCUGGAAUUAACAGGCUCACACCUUGGAGGGGGCAGUCCCAUAGCAGGCUCCCACCCUGCCCUUCAGAGUUGCAGCAGACUCAUGGAGGCAACCACUCAAGGUCACUCUGAGAAGGGUUGAACGUGCUUUAUUAAAAGGACUGAGGAUCAUGUGUGUUGGUGUGUCCCGGAGUCUGCUCUAAGGCCCUGUGGCUGCCUGGUGCCCUGGGAAUGGUCCGGUCAUGGGCCUCAGCCCAGGAUGAGCAGCCAACAAUGCAAUCCCACGAAGAGUGUGCGGAAGGGAGAGGUUACUUCUCAAGAUGGAGCUGCCAAAUAGGGACACUUUGGAGAGUCUGGCCUGAGAACUUUUAGUUUCAAGAAUGUAUUGCUUUGGAAAAGACAGAAUAAAAGUCCAAGCACUGCCACUUA